rnacentral:lncRNA from 1 species
UGUUCCCCAGGCGACGCUUCGAGAGGAGGAGAAACACAAUCGCAGCUGGCCACGGAGAAACCCCGUCGAGCGGCAAGUGAUAGGCGCGCGACCAACGAGCGGAAUUCCCCGAGGCUCGGCCCUCGGAUGCCAGGCUAACCCGAUGACCAUCUCGGGAGCAGACUAGCCUGAAGCCCCGACCGGUCGCCUCGGCUUGCGCCAGCCUUGGCCGACCAACGAGCGGAAUUCUCCGAGGCUCGGCCCUCGGAUGCCAGGCUAACCCGAUGACCAUCCCGGNN